GAUGAACGCUAGCGGCAGGCCUAAUACAUGCAAGUCGAGGGGUAACAGGAAGUGCUUGCACUUCGCUGACGACCGGCGCACGGGUGAGUAACGCGUAUACAAUCUACCUCAUACUAGAGGAUAGCCCGAAGAAAUUUGGAUUAACACUCUAUAGUAUCAUUUAAAGACAUCUUUUUAUGAUUAAAGGUUACGGUAUGAGAUGAGUAUGCGUUCUAUUAGUUUGUAGGUGAGGUAACGGCUCACCUAGACUGCGAUAGAUAGGGGCCCUGAGAGGGGGACCCCCCACACUGGUACUGAGACACGGACCAGACUCCUACGGGAGGCAGCAGUAAGGAAUAUUGGACAAUGGACGAAAGUCUGAUCCAGCCAUGCCGCGUGCAGGAUGACAGCCCUACGGGUUGUAAACUGCUUUUAUACAGGAAGAAACACUCCGACGUGUCGGAGCUUGACGGUACUGUAAGAAUAAGGAUCGGCUAACUCCGUG
rnacentral:rRNA from 1 species